AGCGAACGCUGGCGGCAGGCCUAACACAUGCAAGUCGAACGAACCCUUCGGGGUUAGUGGCGGACGGGUGAGUAACACGUGGAACGUGCCUUUAGGUUCGGAAUAACUCAGGGAAACUUGUGCUAAUACCGAAUGUGCCCUUCGGGGGAAAGAUUUAUCGCCUUUAGAGCGGCCCGCGUCUGAUUGGCUAGUUGGUGAGGUAAUGGCUCACCAAGGCUACGAUCAGUAGCUGGUCUGAGAGGAUGACCAGCCACAUUGGGACUGAGACACGGCCCAAACUCCUACGGGAGGCAGCAGUGGGGAAUCUUGCGCAAUGGGCGAAAGCCUGACGCAGCCAUGCCGCGUGGAUGAUGAAGGUCUUAGGAUUGUAAAAUCCUUUCACCGGUGAAGAUAAUGACUGUAGCCGGAGAAGAAGCCCCGGCUAACUUCGUGCCAGCCGCCGCGGUAAGAC
rnacentral:rRNA from 1 species